UACGAAUGGAGCGAGCGUUGUUCGGAAUCACUGGGCGUAAAGGGUGCGCAGGCGGUCUUGAAAGUUAGACGUGAAAGCCCCGGGCUUAACCCGGGAAUUGCUUUUAAAACUCCAAGACUUGAGUACUGGAGAGGUUGGCGGAAUUCCGAGUGUAGAGGUGAAAUUCGCAGAUAUUCGGAGGAACACCAAUGGCGUAGGCAGCCAACUGGACAGUAACUGACGCUCAUGCACGAAAGCGUGGGGAUCAAACAGG
rnacentral:rRNA from 1 species